rnacentral:rRNA from 1 species
UACGUAGGGUGCGAGCGUUAAUCGGAAUUACUGGGCGUAAAGCGUGCGCAGGCGGCUUUGCAAGACGAGAUGUGAAAUCCCCGGGCUUAACCUGGGAACUGCAUUUGUGACUGCAUGGCUGGAGUGCGGCAGAGGGGGAUGGAAUUCCGCGUGAGCAGUGAAAUGCGUAGAUAUGCGGAGGAACACCGAUGGCGAAGGGCAAUCCCCUGGGCCUGCACUGACGCUCAUGCACCGAAAGCGUGG